rnacentral:tRNA from 1 species
GUUUUUAUAGUUGAAUAACAGCGGUAGUUUUUCAGACUGCAGGUCUUGGUUGUAAUCCAGGUAAAAAUA